GGAACGGCAGAGGGGUGUUGGGUGUCUCAAGCCCAGUGUGAACAGCUGAAAGGUGUGACUUCACAGAGCUCGCUCCCCUCCCUGUCAGGGCCCUGAUUGGGCCAGACAGGAGGCGCAGGAGAGGCCCCGGGCUCCCUAAAGGACACCAACAGGUGGGAAGUCGCAUUGGAGGGGGCCCGCUCCUGGUAGGGAUAGAAAAGGCCGGUCUGCAUGGCCUGCUGCGGGCACAAUCCACCGGGCCAGAUACCGAGGAGAGCGGAUGAUCGCAAAGAGAGCUGAAGCGGACAGAUGAGUUGAGUGGAUAGAAGGCAAAUGGAGGCUUCAGGGACCUGACCAAAGGCAACCCUGAAGAGGACCUCCUGCUCUCAUUUCUCUUUCCUCCUUUCGCUCCCUCUUUCUCUGUGUUUGACUGUUUUCCCGCAUCUCUCUUCCUCUGCCUCUUGCAGUCGAAGCAACACGCCUUGCUGUGGCUGGUCAAACGGAACCAAGUCAGGUGUUUCAGUGAGGUUUGGUCCCCUUCAACCAGCUACUGCGUCGUGAAUUCUGUCGGCAGGGAAUCAGAGACACUGUCACAGCUCAUUGUGGACGUGGUAGUCUGAAUAAAUGUGACGUUUUUGUGUUACAGGCUAUUCAGAUUUAUUUUUGCUGCUUCGUUUUAGCUGUUUAAGAAUAGGAGUUUGUGCUUACAAAUCAAAUAAAGGGUCACUAACAAUGUACUUUCCUGACAUCUGCAUUUUUCUUUAUUCUUGUCUUAAAAUAAUCAAAUAUGGGAUUUUUAUGUUCUAAUCACACCUCUCUAAAUAGAAAAUACAAAAAAAAAAAGUUUUCCGUUAUCUGCUGUACAUACCCUUAUGUUGCUGAAACAGGAAAUCUUCAAUCACUUACAGUUAAUCACUAACUUUUGAAGCUAUAACUGUAUAGGAUACAACUGUAUCACGGAGAGCACGCAUGAUUUGUGUUUAUUAUGCGCAUCAAGCCAAUCCAAUUUGUGGUAUAUGUUGAAAUAAACUGUCCAUAAGUUGUAACAUUCUGGCAAUAAAUUCAAUUAAACUCA